CCCUCCGUGGACGAAAAGAUACGGAUUGCUUAACACAUGCAAGUCGGACGGGAAGUGGUGUUUCCAGUGGUGGACGGGUGAGUAACGGGUAAGAACCUGCCCUUGGGAGGGGAACAACAGCUGGAAACGGAUGCUAAUACCCCGUAGGCUGAGGAGAAAAAGGAGGAAUCGGCCCGAGGAGGGGCUCGCGUCUGAUUAGCUAGUUGGUGAGGAAAUAUCUUACCAAGGCGAUGAUCAGUAGCUGGUCCGAGAGGAUGAUCAGCCACACUAGGAUUGAGACACGGCCCAGACUCCUAUGGGAGGAAGCAGUGGGGAAUUUUACGCAAUGGGCGAAAGCCUGACGGAGCAAUGCCGCGUGGAGGUAGAAGGCCCACGGGUCAUGAACUACUUUUCCCGGAGAAGAAGCAAUGACGGUAUCUUGGGAUGCAAGCGUUAUCCGGAAUGAUAUGGCGUAAAGCGUCUGUAGGUGGCUUUUCAAGUCCACUGCAAAUCCCAGGGCUCAACCCUGGACAGGCGGUGGAAACUACCAAGCUGGAUUAAGGUAGAGGCAGAGGGAAUUUCUGGUGGAGCGGUAAAAUGCGUAGAGAUCGGGAAGAACACCAACGGCGAAAGCAUUCUGCUGGGCCGACACUGAGAGACGAAAGCUAGGGGAGCGAAUGGGAUUAGAUACCCCAGUAGUCCUAGCCGUAAACGAUGGAUACUAGGCGUUGUGCGUAUCGACCCGUGCAGUGUUGUAGCUAACGCGUUAAGUAUCCCGUUGGGGAGUACGUUCGCAAGAAUGAAACUCAAAGGAAAUGACGGGGGCCCGCACAAGCGGUGGAGCAUGUGGUUUAAUUCGAUGCAAAGUGAAGAACCUUACCAGGGCUUGACAUGUCGCGAAUCCUCUUGAAAGAGAGGGGUGCCUUCGGGAACGCGGAUACAAGUGGUGCAUGGCUGUCGUCAGCUCGUGUCGUAAGGUGUUGGGUUAAGUCCCGCAACGAGCGCAACCCUCGUGUUUAGUUUCCACCAUGUGCAAUGGAGAAUGUGCUUUAAUAUCUGACACUUUUGAAUUUCAUAAGUUCCCACUAUUGGAGAAUUUUUUUUGGUGGGAAAACAAAUUCAAUUGAGGUAUCGUAGCCGGGGUUAACCACAUCAACCAGAGGAUGGGUUUCUAAUAACUGAAUUUUCUUAUGGACACAACUAGGUUUAGGAAAAAGGGUAUGAAUAUAAUGUUGUAAAAUGGUUGAGGAACAUAUGUCAAGUCCCAAGUUAGUGACCUUUCUAGGAGCUAAAGCACAUUGAGAAUGAUAAUAACUCCAAACUUAGAGUUUUCAGGGUCUCUAAAAAGACUAGUCACAACUUCCCUAAUUUCUAGGUCAUCAG
rnacentral:rRNA from 1 species